rnacentral:rRNA from 1 species
UACGGGGGAGCAAGCGUUGUUCGGAUUUACUGGCGUAAAGGGCGCGUAGGCGGCCACCGCAAGUCGACUGUGAAAUCUCCGGGCUUAACCCGGAAAGGUCAGCCGAUACUGCGGGCUAGAGUGCAGAAGGGCAACUGGAAUUCUCGGUGUAGCGGUGAAAUGCGUAGAUAUCGAGAGGAACACCUGCGGCGAAGGCGGGUGCUGGCUGACACUGACGCUGAGGCGCGAAGCUAGGGAGCGAACGG